rnacentral:rRNA from 1 species
GAGUACUACGAGCAUAAGCUUAAAACCCAAAGGACUUGGCGGUGCUUUAGAUCCCCCUAGAGGAGCCUGUUCUAGAACCGAUAACCCCCGUUAAACCUCACCUUCUCUUGCCUUUUACCGCCUAUAUACCGCCGUCGUCAGCAUACCCUGUGAAGGAACUAUAGUAAGCAAAAUUGGUAAAACCCAAAACGCCAGGUCGAGGUGUAGCAUAUGAGAAGGGAAGAAAUGGGCUACAUUUCCUCUCUCAGGAAAUACGAAUUGUACUAUGAAACAAGUACAUAAAGGAGGAUUUAGUAGUAAGUGGAAAACAGAGUGUUCCACUGAAUCCGGCCCUGAAGCGCGCACACACCGCCCGUCACUCUCCCCAAGCCGGAAUUAACCUGUAUUUAAUAAGCCAAAAUGGGCAAAGGGGAGGCAAGUCGUAACAUGGUAAGUGUACCGGAAGGUGCACUUGGAAAAAU